CUUGCUGUCGUUAGGCCUGUUCAGUGGUUGGAUAAAUCCGACCAAUUCAACCAAUCCAAAUCAAAUGGACCCAAUAUUUUGAAUUGAUUUACAGUGUUGAAUCGGGUUGGUUAAAGUUAUUUAAAACUCUCUAUUUCUUGGUCGGUUCCUAAAAUAACCCACCGAACCCGAUUGCUCUAAAUCUUUUUCUUCUUUUUUCUCUGCAAUCGCCAUCGACAUCCAACCUCACCAUCAACAGCCAUUGCAAUCUCACCAUUGACACCAGGUCUGCAAUCUUAUCUCCACUACCACUAUUGCAGAAGGUCUCUCCACUCUAAAAGCCUAUUGUUUAGUUCCAGUAUAUAUGGAAUCCCAUCUAGGGUUUAGUUCUAGAGGUAUAGCUUCUUUUUUUCAUUUUCAUUCCAAUCUAUAUGGAAUCCCAUCUAGGGUUCAGCAGAUAGGAAAAAAGCCAUAGAUGUGCUUCCAUAAUGUAAUUUACUUAUUAGAUGUGCUUUCAUAAUGUAAUAUACUUAUAGAUGUGCUUCCAUAGGUAUGAACCCUUGCUUCUGAAUUCAAGUUUUAUAUUGAUUUCAGAACUAUAGUGGAUGAAAUAGUUAUCCUUCCUAUUGUUAAUUGAUUUCUGUAGACAUUUAAGUUUUAAUGGAUUUGGUGUUGGAUUUGAUUUCGUGAGCCUGCUUUGUGGGGGAUUCUUUUUCCAGUUUCACUUGUAUUAAUUACAUGUUAUUAUCAGUAGGAUAUUGCAUUUUAAGGGCUUUGUGUUUGUGUUUCAUAGCAUUUGUAAUUUGUUUAAAUUGCACCAAGUUGCAAAUAAUAUAAAAAAAGCGUUUCUAGUUUUUUUUUUCCCUUUUUUCUAAAUCAUAUAUAUAUAUAUAUAUAUAUAUGUAUUGCUGAAAAGACAUGGGUUUUAGUUUUUUACGCUCCAAGGACUGAUAGAUAGGAAAAUAUGGGUGUUGGACUAGAAGAAGGCUUAAAUGGUUCAAGUGUGGUAGUCUAUGGGCAGUUGUUUGUGGUUUUAAAGCCUGCAAGUGUGAAGCUCAAGGUUUACGAUAUAGAAACAAAUUUUAGGAAAACAAUAGAAGAACUCUUAUUACCAGAGCAAACUUUGCAAAACCUUUGUUGUGGAUGCCUGUAAUUUAAUUUAUAUUGUGGGUUGGAAUCUGCAUGUUGGUCAUAUCUCUAAGUUGAAGCAAAAGGCACUUACAAAGAAGUUGAGCUUCUGAUAUUUGCAUCUUGUCUUGCAUACUGUUGAAUAAUCUGUAACUAUGUAUUGUGAAAGUUGUAGAGUUCUAAUGGAUGCAUAAAAACAAAUUACUAAAUUAUAUAGUUGUCAUUGCCAAUUCAUUUUUCUGUUUAGUUAUUAUAAUGAUUCCUUGGUGCAAUGCUCUGUUUCUUUUUUAUUUUUGUCUUUAAUUUUUUUACUUCUCCUUAAUGCAUAACCUUUUUGUUCAUGAUUUUCCUAAAAAGAAAAAAGAUGGGAAUUGGUGAUGAGGUUAGGAUUGAUCAAAUUUUGCCUUGCUUCUAUUGUAUCAAUCACUAUGAAGAUGAGUAGAAUAUGCAGUAUAACAUGUUGUUAAUGUGUUUUUGUUGGAGCAUGGUUAAGAUUAUUAAAAACCAAGAAUAGAGAAUUUGAUUGGCUAUAUUUUACAAUGCAUUUGGAUUGGCAAGUAUUCAAACUUGAUUAAUAAUAUGGUUUUUUUAUGUUUUAUUUUGAUUGGUGUUGGAUUGUGUUCAUGGAGUUAUGUGAUUUAGACUUUAUAUUAUUUAGAUUCAUAAUCUCCAAAGAAUACGGGAGAUAGAUGUUCUCAUACAUAUUAUUAUCUGAAUUUGUGUAUUUAUUUGGUUAAUUUUGCAUUUUAAAGUAAUUUGUUUCUUGCUUUUUUCCCAGUUGAACGAUGAGGCUAUGAAAGAAUUUCCAGAAUUAUAUCAACGAAUUGGAGAAUAUUGGUCUGCAGAAUUUAGAAAUAUUGAAUUAAUAAAAUGAAUAGAUUUUAAUGGUAUUUCUGUUAUUUGAAAAUAGAAAGCUUAUUUUAUGCAAUGUAUUAUUUUAAUUUUAUGGUUAUUUUUAUUGUUUAAAACACAAUUAUUAUAUUGUUAAAAUAUGAUAAUUUAAUUUUUUUUUA